rnacentral:rRNA from 1 species
UACGUAGGCAGCGAGCGUUGUUCGGAGUUACUGGGCGUAAAGGGUGUGUAGGCGGUUGUUUAAGUUUGGUGUGAAAUCUCCCGGCUCAACUGGGAGGGUGCGCCGAAUACUGAAUGACUUCGAGUGCGGGAGAGGAGAGUGGAAUUCCUGGUGUAGCGGUGAAAUGCGUAGAUAUCGGGAGGAACACCUGUGGCGAAAGCGGCUCGACUGGACCACAACGUGACGCUGAGGCGCGAAAGCUA